GACGAACGCUGGCGGCGUGCUUAACACAUGCAAGUCGAACGGAAAGGCCCUGCUUGCAGGGUACUCGAGUGGCGAACGGGUGAGUAACACGUGGGUGAUCUGCCCUGCACUUCGGGAUAAGCCUGGGAAACUGGGUCUAAUACCGGAUAGGAGCCAUUUUUAGUGUGAUGGUUGGAAAGUUUUUUCGGUGUAGGAUGAGCUCGCGGCCUAUCAGCUUGUUGGUGGGGUAAUGGCCUACCAAGGCGGCGACGGGUAGCCGGCCCGGGAGGGUGGGCGGCCACAGUGGGACUGAGAUCCGGCCCAGACUCCUACGGGAGGCAGAAGUGGGGAAUAUUGCAAAAUGGGCGCAAGCCUGAUGCAGAGACGCCGCGUGGGGGAUGACGGCCUUCGGGUUGGAAACUCAUUUCGCUAGGGACGAAGCUUUUUGUGACGGUACCUAGAGAAGAAGCACCGGCUAACUACGUG
rnacentral:rRNA from 1 species